AAAGACUUGACGGUACUUCACAACACCCUAGAGGAGCCUGUCUAAUAACCGAUAUUCCACGAUUAACCCCACCUGCCCUAGCCUUACAGUCUAUAUACCGCCGUCGCCAGCUUACCUUGUGAAAGAAAUGAAGUAAACAAAACAAACCACCUUUAGCACGACAGGUCAAGGUGUAACUAAUGAGCAGGCAAAAGAUGGGCUACAUUUUCUAAUGCAGAAAACACGAAUCAAACCAUGAAAUCACAGCUGAAGGCGGAUUUAGCAGUAAGAUAAAAAUAGAAUGUUUAACUGAAACCAAUGCAAUGAAGCACGCACACACCGCCCGUCAUCCCUG
rnacentral:rRNA from 1 species